rnacentral:rRNA from 1 species
AUACGUAGGGGGCGAGCGUUGUCCGGAAUGAUUGGGCGUAAAGGGCGCGUAGGCGGCGCGGUAAGUCUGGAGUGAAAGUCCUGCUUUCAAGGUGGGAAUUGCUUUGGAUACUGCCGCGCUUGAGUGCAGGAGAGGUUAUCGGAAUUCCCGGUGUAGCGGUGAAAUGCGGAGAGAUCGGGAGGAACACCAGUGGCGAAGGCGGGGAGCUGGACUGCAACUGACUCUGAGGCGCGAAAGUGUGGGGAGCAAACAGGAUUAGAUACCCUGGUAGUCCACGCUGUAAACGAUGAUUACUAGGAGUGGGGGGACUGACCCCUUCCGUGCCGCAGUUAACACAAUAAGUAUUCCGCCUGGGGAGUACGGCCGCAAGGUUGAAACUCAAAUGAAUGGGCGGGG